UGGCCAAAGACUUUCUGAACUCAGUCUCACAUAUCGCAUAGGACUUCUCCUUUUCUAUCAAGAUCGAUAGAUCUCAUCUAGGUGCAUCUUACUCCAAACAGCGAACCUGAACCUACUGAAGUCAAUAUACACAACAAGGAUCCGAAUGGCAAGGGAUCAAGAGAAUGUGCAGUCAAACUCAGUUGCCUUGCUGUGAAUAACCAAUGACACUAUAGGUCAACGGACCACUCACACUACUGCAGCAUCGAGAAGAUCAUUG
rnacentral:lncRNA from 1 species